GCCCGCCUACCACUCUUCCGCCGCCCCGCUCGCGCUCUCUCUCUCUCUCUCUCUCCUUCGUUGUCUCGUCCCCGACGAGGGCCGUCCUUCUCCCUCUUCCCAUUACGUUCUUCGAGGAUUGGCGACAAGAUUUGAUUUUACCCCUAGCGAUGGCAGUGGCCACACAGUUUGGUGGUCGAUCCUGUUGUGUUGUGGUUAAGAGGGAUUUGUCGACUUCUCUUUCUUUCUCUUCGAGCUUCCAGAGUAAGCUCGGAUUUGAGUCGUCUUCGAGGUCACUCUGUCGGCAGAGGGAGGGGAUAUGCGGAAAGAGGAGAGUUUUGAAGGUGCGUUGCGAGAGAAGGGUGUCUGCCGUUGUGGACGUUGUGGAGAAGGAUGUGGCCUUGAGGCAAGGUAGUGGCGGGAAUCCUGCCCAGCUCAGCAUCGUGAUGAAGUUUGGCGGGUCGUCAGUAGCUUCAGCUGAGAGGAUGAAAGAGGUUGCUGGCCUCAUUUUUAGCUUUCCCGAAGAACGACCAGUGAUCGUGCUCUCUGCCAUGGGCAAGACGACAAACAAUCUUUUGCUGGCUGGAGAAAAGGCGGUUUGCUGUGGUGUUUCUAAUGUAUCUGAAUUGCAUGAGUUAAGCUUUGUGAAAGAGUUGCAUCUCAAGACAGUUGAUGAGCUUGGGCUUUAUAGGACAAUUAUUUCUGGUUUUCUGGUUGAACUAGAGCAACUUCUGAAAGGCAUUGCCAUGAUGAAAGAACUAACACCUCGCACAAGUGACUAUCUCGUUUCCUUUGGUGAAUGCAUGUCUACGAGAAUUUUUGCAGCAUAUUUAAACAAGAUUGGCACUAAAGCACGACAGUAUGAUGCAUUCGACAUUGGUAUUAUUACCACAGAUGACUUUACAAAUGCUGAUAUCUUGGAAGCAACUUAUCCUGCUGUUGCAAAGAGGUUGCAUGGUGAUUGGACUAAUGAUCCAGCAAUUCCAAUCGUUACUGGUUUUCUUGGAAAGGGUUGGAAAUCUGGUGCAGUAACUACCUUAGGCAGGGGUGGAAGUGACUUGACUGCCACAACUAUAGGUAAAGCUUUGGGUUUACGUGAAAUUCAGGUUUGGAAGGACAUUGAUGGUGUUUUAACAUGUGAUCCUAAUAUAUAUCCAAAUGCAAAGCCUGUGCCUCAUUUGACAUUUGAAGAGGCAGCUGAACUUGCCUAUUUUGGAUCACAGGUGUUGCAUCCCCAAUCAAUGCGGCCUGCCAGAGAAGGCGAUAUACCUGUUAGGGUCAAGAAUUCAUACAACCCUCAAGCUCCUGGAACUGUCAUCGAUAAAGUGAGAGAUAUGAGCAAGGCUGUACUAACCAGCAUUGUGUUGAAGUCAAAUAUUACAAUGUUGGACAUUGUGAGCACUCGAAUGCUUGGACAAUAUGGUUUUCUAGCAAAGGUUUUCUCUAUUUUUGAAGACUUAGGAAUUUCUGUCGACAGUGUGGCCACAAGCGAAGUCAGUGUAUCUUUGACAUUGGAUCCAUCUAAACUCUGGAGUAGAGAAUUAAUUCAGCAGGAGCUUGAUCGCGUAGUCGAGGAGCUCAAGAAGAUUGCUGUUGUCAAUCUCCUUCAGCACAGAUCAAUAAUCUCCCUUGUUGGAAAUGUUCAGAGGUCUUCUUUGAUACUAGAGAAGGCAUUCAAUGUUCUUCGCAAGAGUGGUGUGAAUGUCCAAAUGAUCUCUCAGGGAGCAUCAAAGGUCAACAUUUCCUUGGUGGUUCAUGAUAGCGAAGCAAAGCAGUGCAUCAGAGCUCUGCAUUCAGCCUUCUUCGAGAAUAGCUCUCUUCCAGAAGUAGAGAGCUUCCCACCCUGUGUCUAAGCUGCGGACUCAAGCUUCUUCACCAGAGAGGUCAAUUUGCAUGUGGCAACCAGCGCCCUUGAAGAAUAAACCACUUCUUCCCCCGCCGUCCAACCCGGCGCAUAGAGAGAGGAGGCCUAUCAUCAGAUCCACAUUACUACUACACUGCUACAGCUGCAAGUAGUGACAUGCUUUCCGAAAUCCUCAGUAAAUAUUCCAUUCAAAAUGGCAAGAGACAGCGUGCAAUGUGCCACCGCUUAGGCAUGACAUCGAGCGGCCUUCGUGGCGCCAUUUCGUUAAGUCUCCAUGACGUUGGCGCCUCCCGAGGUCUCCGUGCCCGAGGUUACUAUAUCUUCUCUAGCCACCGUCGUAGCGACCAGAGAGGAUUCGGCGCUUGCGUCCCCGCUCCGGCGUUGAGGUGAAGAACGGUAAAAUGUCACGUAACCAGCUAUGGCUAUUGUUGUUACUUGUGCUGUUAUCUUGUAUAGCAGACAGUGUAUCAACAAUGAAUCAGCAAAAAGAUCGGUCGAUCAAAUCUGCAGUCUUCCUCUCUCCUCCUUUCUUUCUAC